rnacentral:lncRNA from 1 species
AAAGAUAAUAUUAUAACUAAUAUUAAUAUAUCAAUUUAUUCUUAAUCCCAAAAGAAUAAUAUAUCAAAAUUAUACAAUCCCAAAAGAACAAGAUGACCAAGAUGUCCUAACACAAAAACAUCUAUAUCUUCUAACAUCAUCACGUGGCCAAAACUCAAAAUAUAUUUACAGUCGCUGGGUUGGUCUGGUGUACCUGCAACCUCCUGGUGAGGGGGGAAAAAUAUAAUAGAAAUGGGGUGAGUUUUAAACUCACUGAGAUCAGUGAGUGGAUAAUAGUUUUGAAAAUUAAUUCUUACUUUAAAAGAAAUAAUCAUAUCAUUUCCAAACACGAUUUCAUUAAACCGUAAGCGAAAAACCAGUAACAAAUCAUUAAACAUUGAAAUCAAAUUACUAACCAUGGACAUCAUAUCACAAUAUCAUAUAGAAUUCACAAAUCUGAAAAUCAUCACCAAACAAGUACUCAGGGAAAUAAUCUCGUCAUAUCCGGACCUCAACGGACAGGCAAUGACGUACUAUCUGGGUACCGCCACGCCCCGGAGCUACACGGAUAGACAGAGAAAUACCAUCUCAUAUCUCAUCAUAUCUGUGCAUGCAUAAUCUAGUCCCCAAAGGACAAAAGCGCCCAAGCACACGGCCCAAAGCCUCUGUGUGUACUCAGAUGGGCCCCAAAGGCCUGUAUCUCAUCUGUAUCAUCUGUAUCAUUUGUAUCUCAAUAUCUCUCUGUAUCUCAUAUCUGUAUCUCUGUAAUCAUCAUACCGCAUGCAUAUGCCUCCAAAAGGCAAAAACGCCCAAACACACGGCCCAAAGCCUCUAUGUGUGUUUAGACGGGCCCCAAAGGCCUCUCAUCUCAUUUGUAUCACAUGUAUCUGGAGGGAAGGGUAUUGUCUAAUGAUUUCAAAAACAAUCAUUAUACUCAUAUUCACAUACCUCUUAACCAUAUGUUUAAAUCAUACCACAUUUGAAUCCACUUUUCUUAUCUUUAAAAUACUAUCAUGCUCAUUCAAAGUCAAUACGCAAAAUCAUUAAUCAAACAUUUUAAUAAAAUACCAAUGCGUGAAUAAAAUCUAGUUCGAGGAAAUCAUUAAAUCAGAACAUUUAAAAUACUUAUUUUGCAAACAUGUUUUACUAUCAUAAUUAACUAUGAAAAUAGGUUUUGUAUAUUCCACUCACAGUGACAGUGUUCACGGUCGGUUAUCGUCCACGUCCGCGGACUGGUUCUCGCUCGCGGAUCCUCCUAAAAUAAGGAAACGACAUAAUUAUUUUCCGUAAAUCGGAAUUAUGACUAAAUUUUAUGCAAUAAACUCGAACCGAAUAUCUAUCCAUAAUUGACAACUCCCGUAUCUAUAAAAUUACUAAAAUGCCCUUGAGUCAGUAGAUCAUUAACAUGCUCCGAAAUCGUAAAUCACUGAAUUACCCUCGAAAUCGUAAUUACACCCAAUCCUCAAUUCUAGGAAUUACUAACAUAUCCACAGGCUCAGAAAUUACAAAAUUGCCCUCAUAGUGUGAAAUUACCAAAAUGCCCUUGCCGGUCAACGGUCACCGGAAUUUGGUCAACGCUGGCUAGGAAGCUCAAAUCUGAAAGUUCCAAUCAUGUUGAGUUCAAUGGUACCGGCGGUGAGCUCCAACACGUGGCAACGACGCCGAAAUCUAGCUCGGCAGCCGUGAAUUCCAACAAUCGACCUGCGGCAACACAGUGACUCUCGGUGCCUAUGGAUGGUCGGAAAUGGAAGAGGGAGUCAUGAGGAGCAAAAUCCAAUCGGUGGUGUCACUCAAAACCGGCGAAAAUCCCGGCGAAGCAAAGUGAAAUAGUCGCGGGUUUCAAGCUUCGAUCGCCGGCGUUUCGGUUGGUUUUCGGCGGCGAGGAUGGCAGGGGAACAACGGUCGGCUUCUAAGCUUCAGAUUGGUACCAAGCUCGGCCGAAACGGUGGCCGGAAAUGGGAGUUAUGGCCGGGUCAAGGACGCGGGUUCCGGGUCGGGUUUCCGGGUCGGGUUGACGGCUUCUCUCUCUCACUCUCUCACUCUCUCACACACGUGUGGCUUCUGUUUUUUUGCUCUGUUUUUUCUAGCU